rnacentral:rRNA from 1 species
CCUACGGGAGGCAGCAGUGAGGAAUAUUGGUCAAUGGCCGGAAGCCUGAACCAGCCAAGUCGCGUGAGGGACGACUGCCCUAUGGGUUGUAAACCUCUUUUAUAAGGGAAGAAUAAAUGCUACGUUUAGCAUGAUGCCUGUACCUUAUGAAUAAGCAUCGGCUAACUCCGUGCCAGCAGCCGCGGUAAUACGGAGGAUGCGAGCGUUAUCCGGAUUUAUUGGGUUUAAGGGGUGCGUAGGCGGUUUUUUAAGUUAGUGGUUAAACGUCGGGGAUUCACCUUGAUUUGCCAUUAAUACUGUAAGACUCGAGUUCAGACGAGGUAGGCGGAAUAAGUUAAGUAGCGGUGAGAUGCUUAGAUAUAACUGAGAACUCCGAUAGCGAAGGCAGCUUACCAGACUGCGACUGACGCUGAAGCACGAGAGCGUGGGUAGCGAACAGGAUUAGAUACCCGAGUAGUC